rnacentral:lncRNA from 1 species
CCCGGCUGACCCCUCGCGCCGCCCUAGGAGCCAGCGCCGCCCUAACUCCUCUUCCUUCCCGCGACGCCUGCGCUGAGCAGUGUAUUGAGGUCCCACGUGAGGAAACAGCCACAGGCCUGGCUCCUGGUUUCAGCCCCUCUACGAACCGGGACGCGGAGAUCCAGGUGCCAGGCCCACCCUACCUGCACCCCCGCCGUCCGUCCUGCCCCUGCCCUCCGCUGUCCCCGCUCUCAGCGUCGUGGUCACACCCCCACACCCCCGCCGGAGCCAGCACAAGGCUCACCCCCGACGGCACCUGCUCUGCGGCUGCAGCGGUGACACAGGCAGCGCAUUUCCGUGGCCGGGCCUCCCCGCCACGCGGUGAACUCGCCGUGGGACCUGAUGGGCCCGCACCCCGGUGGCUGUGGACUCAGGCGGGUCCCGGAGCCACAGGUACACGCGGCGCCCGGCAGGGCCUUCACUCUUUGCCCCCGCCCCCCGCCCCGCAUGGAGGCCGGGGGGCCCCUGUGAGCUACUGUCAGGCUGUCACUGUGCCCAGGGGCUGUGGCUGUGCCCCCGGGACUGGGGUUGUGCCCUGGGGCUUGGGCUGUGCCCAGGGGCUGUUGCUGCCCUGCAGCUGUCGCUGUGCCCUGGGGCUGUGGCUGUGCCCUGGGGCUGUGGCUGUGCCCUGGGGCUGUCACUGGGCCCCUGGGACUGGGGUUGUGCCCUGGGCUGAGGUUGUGCCCUGGGGCUGUGGCUGUGCCCUGGGGCUGUUGCUGCCCUGGGGCUGUGCCCUGGGGCUGUGGCUGUGCCCUGGGGCUGCUGCUGCCCUGGGGCUGUCGCUGUGCCCUGGGGUUGUCACUGGGCCUCAGGACUGGGGCUGUCACUGGGGCCUGGGGCUGAGGUUGUGCCCUGGGGCUGUCACUGGGCCCCGGGGUUGGGGUUGUGCCCUGGGGCUGUGGCUGUGCCCUAGGGCUGUGGCUGUGCCCCAGGGCGGUUGCUGCCCUGGGGCUGUCGCUGUGCCCUGGGGCUGUCACUGGGCCCCGGGGGUUGGGGUUGUGCCCUGGGGCUGUUGCUGUGCCCCGGGGCUGUGGCUGUGCCCUGGGGCUUGGGCUGUACCCAGGGGCUGUUGCUGUGCCCCGGGG